rnacentral:rRNA from 1 species
AGAGUUUGAUCAUGGCUCAGAGUGAACGCUGGCGGCGUGCCUAACACAUGCAAGUCGAGCGAAGUGGCAGCUGUAGCAAUACAGUAUGUGCUUAGCGGCAGACGGGUGAUUAACACGUAGAUAACCUACCUCUUAGAGGGGGAUAGCCCGCCGAAAGGCGGGGUAAUACCGCGUAAGAUGAGGGCCUGGCAUCAGGCUUUCAUGAAACAUCCGCAAGGAUGGCUGAGAGAGGGAUCUGCGGCCUAUCAGCUUGUUGGCGAGGUAACGGCUCACCAAGGCUACGACGGGUAACCGACCUGAAGGGGUGAUCGGUCACACUGACACUGAGACACGGGUCAGACUCCUACGGGAGGCAGCAGUGAGGAAUUUUGGACAAUGGGGGAAACCCUGAUCCAGCGACGCCGCGUGAAGGAUGAAGGUCUUCGGAUUGUAAACUUCUUUUGUCUGGGAAUAAGAAAUUCGUGGAAACACGGAGAGUGAAGGUACCAGGCGAAUAAGCCACGGCUAACUUCGUGCCAGCAGCCGCGGUAAUACGAAGGUGGCAAGCGUUACUCGGAAUUACUAGGCGUAAAGGGCAGGUAGGUGGUUUGGUUAGUCUGUUGUGAAAGCUCCCGGCUUAACUGGGAGAGGUCAACAGAUACUGCCGGACUUGAGUAUGGGAGAGGGUACUGGAAUUCCCGGUGUAGCGGUGAAAUGCGCAGAGAUCGGGAGGAACACCAACGGCGAAAGCAGGUACCUGGACCAUUACUGACACUCAGCUGCGAAAGCUAGGGGAGCAAACAGGAUUAGAUACCCUAGUAGUCC